rnacentral:hammerhead_ribozyme from 1 species
AUCCAGCUGACGAGUCCCAAAUAGGACGAGACGCGCCUUCUGGAU